GACGAACGCUGGCGGCGUGCUUAACACAUGCAAGUCGAACGGAAAGGCCCUGCUUUUGUGGGGUGCUCGAGUGGCGAACGGGUGAGUAACACGUGAGUAACCUGCCCUUGACUUUGGGAUAACUUCAGGAAACUGGGGCUAAUACCGGAUAGGAGCUCCUGCUGCAUGGUGGGGGUUGGAAAGUUUCGGCGGUUGGGGAUGGACUCGCGGCUUAUCCGCUUGUUGGGGAGGUAGUGGCUUACCAAGGCUUUGACGGGUAGCCGGCCUGAGAGGGUGACCGGCCACAAGGGGACUGAGAUACGGACCAGACUGCAACGUGAGGCAGCAGGGGGGAAUAUUGCACAAUGGGCCGAAGCCUGAGGUAGCGACGCCGCGUGCGGGAUGACGGGCUUCGGGUUGUAAACAGCUUUCGCCUGUGACGAAGCGUGAGUGACGGUAAUGGGUAAAGAAGCACCGGCUAACUACGUG
rnacentral:rRNA from 1 species